rnacentral:rRNA from 1 species
UACGUAGGGUGCGAGCGUUAAUCGGAAUUACUGGGCGUAAAGCGUGCGCAGGCGGUCUCUUAAGACAGGUGUGAAAUCCCCGGGCUUAACCUGGGAACUGCGCUUGUAACUGAGAGGCUAGAGUGUGGCAGAGGGGGGUGGAAUUCCACGUGUAGCAGUGAAAUGCGUAGAUAUGUGGAGGAACACCGAUGGGCGAAGGCAGCCCCCUGGGCUAACACUGACGCUCGAUGCACGA